rnacentral:lncRNA from 1 species
CAAGUAGAAAGGACUGUUCGGGUUGGACAUUUGAUCCAUCUGUUCCAUGGAAAAAGAAAGUAAGCACGAAUCCAGUCCAAGAAAGAUCCAAGAUCGUCAGCAAUGUAGGCAAGAAUCCAACCCAAGAAAGAUCCAAAAUCGUCAGCAAUGGCAACGGAAGCAGAGCAGGCACUAGACCUGCUCUGAUACCAUCUUGAAGUGGGCCUGACACUGUGCACUUACGCAGCUGGCCCAAUUCAUACUGGCUCGAAGAGUGAAAAGGCAGCAUGUGUUUGAACGUUUGCCAUAAUACGAAAAGAAAGAAAGUAAGAGAGAGAAAAGUCCAGAGCUUCGUCUCUGGCGAUGGAGAGUGAAACACGUCUCAGGCCGGCGAACACCGUCACCCACGGCGGCGAUGAAGAUGACGUAGA